CUUUGACACAAUUACACAAGGAGAACAGUUCCUUUUGCUCGAAAAGAAAUGAAAUUUGCAGUGCUGAUAUUAGUAUGUGGCGUCUUUGCUGCCGAAUUUGUUGUGGACGGGGGCCUCGAUUUUACAUUCGAAUUUGAAAAUGAUUAUUCCAAUGAGAGUGACUACUAUGACUAUGUGGGGACCACAAUGUCCAGCCGUGAUGACUUGCUAACAACAGUGUCCAGCCGUGAUGACUUGUUAACAACAGUGUCCUGCUGUCCCCUCUUGACUACAACCUGUGGAAGUGUUAGCCUCAUCCUCUCUCUUAUCUAUUGGAACAACUGCUGGUAGGCCCGGGAACCGUUAACCAGGUGCUGCCAUGGCUGGAGAUUGCAAUGGAAUAAAAAUGUCCAUGCACAACUAUGACAUGAAGUCAGCCAUUGGUUGGAAUGCACACAUUGG